rnacentral:rRNA from 1 species
UACGUAGGGGGCUAGCGUUGUCCGGAUUUAUUGGGCGUAAAGAGCGUGUAGGCGGCCAUUCAGGUCCGGUGUGAAAACUCGAGGCUUAACCUCGAGAUGUCAUCGGAAACCAUUUGGCUAGAGUCCGGAAGAGGAGAGUGGAAUUCCUGGUGUAGCGGUGAAAUGCGCAGAUAUCAGGAAGAACACCAAUGGCGAAAGCAGCUCUCUGGGACGGUACUGACGCUGAGACGCGAAAGCGUGGGUAGCAAACAGG